UUGUAAUAAAUUGGAAAUAAAAUAUGAAUUAAAAUAAUUCUAAUUUUAAGUUUCAUCAAUUGGAAUUCAGUUUUUCUGAGCAAUGGAAUCAAAAAGAGAGCUAGUAAAAAAGUUGCAUUUGCAAGGAAAAGCAGUGAAAUUGUUAAGAUCCUCCAGAGCCUUGAUAUUAACCGCAGAUCCGUUCAACGUACUGUGGCUCAAUUUAAGAAAAUAGUUGCAGUUACACGGUCAGAACUUCAAGUCGGAUGAAGAUUGCACGUGAGCGAAUAAGGAAAAAACUUUGCAGUUUCUGGAAGGAAACUGGCUAAGGACCUCAGCGUGAGCCGAAAAACCAUCAGAAACAUUAUUAUUAAAAAUUUGGGUAUGAAGGCUUAUAAGAAAAAAUGAAUUCACGGUCUAACGGAACAUCAAAGACAAAUGAGAAGAGAAAGAAGGAAUUUGCUUCUUCAGCGGCACGCAAAUUGUGAGGUUGUAUUAUAUUAUUGAAAUGUAUCAGAACACAACCUCUGUUAUGGUUUGGAGGCCCCAUCUGCAAAAGAAAAACUUCCUCUCCGUUUCAUUGACAAAGGCGUAAAAAUUAACGCCAAAUAUUAUUUGGAGGAAGUGCACUUCUCUAUUCAUGUUUGAAGUGGUGCUAAGACAAUAUACUCAGUUUCAUGUCAUGAAUGGCCCCCUUUUUCCCCGGAAUUGGAUCAUUUGUUUAUGGGGAUAUAUGAUGGGGAAAUUAACAAAUGUAGAAAACGUAAAACCGGACCAGUUUAAGCGCCGUUUGAAAUGAAUUUGGGACGAAAUUCCAAAAGAAGUUGUGCAUGCCGCUAAAACCGUGUGAAGCUUUUAAAACCAAUGAAUUUUAAUAAAGCAGGUCUAUAGUUUAACUAAUAAAUAAAACAAGUUUUCAUCCCAA